CAAAAAGCAUAAGAGGUUGCUGAAAGGCACCAAACAAACAAAUAUAAGUUAUUAAUGGAUUUGCAACAAAUAUAAGUUAAUUUGUGCAACCUUGGCAUCUCCGAUAAUGAACUCCAUAUGUUGAUUCCCAAUCGCAAGAAGAAGAAGGUCUCGUGGAAAGACGGUACUGUGAUUUAAACAAAUACUCCUCUGAUUUAAACUAAACACUCCUCUGAUUAUGAUGUCGUGAUUUUAUAUUUGCAACAAAAUUUAAACAAUUCCUUUUACUAAUCAACUUAAGUUGAAUGAAUUCUAGAAACAUUUACACAACAAAAUAUCAGGCUUGUGUGGUUCAGUAAUCACCGCUCUGAUCAAUCAGAACCAUAACUAACUGCUUGGGCCAGCUUCAUCAUGAUUCUUGCAACAAAAUCCAUUGUCACUAUGAUCAUGGGGAUGUUUGUCAGAGUCGUGUGGUACAUCAUCUUCAUCGCUAUCAUCUUCAUCAAAGGGCUUUUCUUUAUGAAAGAUACAACACUUCUUGGAACUCUUUUUCUGCAUGAACUCAUUGUCCACAGUACCGUCUUUCCACGAGACCUUCUUCUUCUUGCGAUUGAGCAGGAGAAAAAGGACUUCAGGUUGCUGUUGUUCCUGCCGAGAUGAAGAGGAUGAUGGAACUGAGCUUUCAAUUGUUAUGGUGGUGGCGCCAGUAACAGAAGGGGAAGACAACGCUACUGGCCGGUUGGUGCUCCUGCGUCUGUCCAUGAUUGGCAAAAAA
rnacentral:lncRNA from 1 species